UUUCCGUAGGUGAACCUGCGGAAGGAUCACUAGUGAUUUAAAUACUUGGAAGCUUCGGCUUUCAGGUCCCUUCACAUCCACACACACCCUGUGCUCUUGGCUGUUUGGAUCUUAAUUGAUCUGAGCAGUUCAACCCCCCUUUUUUUAAUAAACUCAGUCUAAUGAAUGUAAACAAGUUUUUAAUAAACAAAAUAAAACUUUCAACAACGGAUCUCUUGGCUCUCGCAUCGAUGAAGAACGCAGC
rnacentral:misc_RNA from 1 species